CCUUGACGAUGGAUGACUUGGGAUUUGCCGAAUUUUGCAAUAAAAUGGGAAAGGUCUUUUUCCGAAACGAAGAUUAUGAUGAAGCAUUGGAACUUUCUCGAAAGGGUCUUGCGUUUGCAGAAAUUGC
rnacentral:rRNA from 1 species